CUUGAAGAGAGCAUGGAAGCUUCUGGCGCUUUCCCCCCUACCUUGUCCUAUGCAUCUGUUCCAUCUGGCCGUUCCUGAGUUACAUCUUUUCACAAUAUACUGGUGAUCUAGACACUGGGGAAGGCAGAAACACGGUAGUGAGAUCCCAGUCAAGUCCUUUGUCCAUUCUGACCACGGCGUCCUCAUCUUUAAAAAGAGAGAUGGAGUCUUGCACAGGUAUACAUCAGAUAUUCCAUCACAAAAGUCCCUACCACUCUGACCCCAGAUCCCAGAAGAAAAAAAGAAAAAGAAAGAAAGAAAUCAAGACCCCAAAGUAGAAGAAGAAGACCACACUGAAGUUGGACCAAAAAGACCAGUCCUCAUCCAGUCAACAAGAAGCCCAGAUUCCUCUAGGGAAACCCCAAUACACUGUAAGUGAAUACCAAGAGACAGAUGACAAGAGUUCAGGACUUCAUAUUUUGAUGCUUUUUAGAUAUUUAGUUUUUAAGACAAAAUUGGAAGAUAGUUAAAGUUCAACUAAUUCUUUGAAAAAUAAAGUUAGACAACGGCUUUUCAGUCACUCGGCAUUUAUGGAGCACAGUAUGAGCCAGGGACUGGAGACUGAGUGACAGACAAGGUUCUUGUCCUUGUGGUACUCACAGCCACACUUUAGAGGCCUCUAAUUCACAUGUGAUGAGUGUUGUUACAAAAGGGGAUGUAGGUGGCACGGAAGUACUCAAUAGGUUAUAUCUUGAACUAAGGAGAUAAGGAGGGCCGGCCUGAGGAAAUAACUUUUAGAGUGAGACCCUUAAAUGAGAAGUAAAGGAAAGGUAGGAGUUAGGUGGCAAAGAAGUCAUUGAGUGAGAAAGUGUUUCAAGCGUUAAUAAUGGCCUAUAGAAGCAAGGAUAUAGCAUGUCUUAGGAACUGUUUUAGUUAGUUUAGACUGCUUGAACAACAAACAUUUAUUUCUCACAGUGCUGGAGGGUGGAAAGUCCAAGAUCAAAGGGCCAACAGAUUCAAUGUCUGGUGAAAACUUUUCCCGGUUUGCAGAUGGUCACCUUCUUCCUAUAGCCUCACAUGUUAGAAAGAAAGAGCUACUUCCAUCAUGGGAGCAACACCCUCAUGAUCUAAUCACCUCCCAAAGUUCCCAUCUCCAAAUUGUACCACACUGGGAGUUAGGUUUCAACAAAAUAAUUUGGGAAUA